UUAUGGACCCAUCCGCCGAAGGGGGGGCAGAUGAUUGGGGUGAAGUCGUAGCAGGGGAGCCGAUAGGAAUUCCACGUGUAGCGGUGAAAUGCGUAGAGAUGUGGAGGAACACCAGUGGCGAAGGCGACUCUCUGGUCUGUAACUGACGCUGAGGAGCGAAAGCGUGGGGAGCGAACAGGAUUAGAUACCCUGGUAGUCCACGCCGUAAACGAUGAGUGCUAAGUGUUAGGGGGUUUCCGCCCCUUAGUGCUGCAGCUAACGCAUUAAGCACUCCGCCUGGGGAGUACGGUCGCAAGACUGAAACUCAAAGGAAUUGACGGGGGCCCGCACAAGCGGUGGAGCAUGUGGUUUAAUUCGAAGCAACGCGAAGAACCUUACCAGGUCUUGACAUCCUCUGACAACCCUAGAGAUAGGGCUUUCCCUUCGGGGACAGAGUGACAGGUGGUGCAUGGUUGUCGUCAGCUCGUGUCGUGAGAUGUUGGGUUAAGUCCCGCAACGAGCGCAACCCUUGAUCUUAGUUGCCAGCAUUCAGUUGGGCACUCUAAAGUGACUGCCGGUGACAAACCGGAGGAAGUGGGGAUGACGUCAAAUCAUCAUGCCCCUUAUGACCUGGCUACACACGUGCUACAAUGGACAGAACAAAGGGCUGCAGACCGCAACGUUUAGCCAAUCCCA
rnacentral:rRNA from 2 species